GACAGCAGUCGCCACGGUAAGACAGAGGAUGCAAGCGUUAUCCGGAAUGAUUGGGCGUAAAGCGUCUGUAGGUGGCUUUUCAAGUCCGCCGUCAAAUCCCAGGGCUCAACCCCGGAACUGCCUUUGAUACUGGGUGUCUAGAGUAUGGAAGAGGUGAGUGGAAUUCCGAGUGUAGAGGUGAAAUUCGUAGAUAUUCGGAGGAACACCAGUGGCGAAGGCGGCUCACUGGUCCAUUACUGACGCUGAGGUGCGAAAGCGUGGGGAGCAAACAGGAUUAGAUACCCCGGUAGUCCCUGUCUCUUAUAC
rnacentral:rRNA from 1 species